CAGCCGUAAACUAUGCUCGCUAGGUGUCAGGGACGGUGCGACCGUUUCUGGUGCCGCAGGGAAGCCGUGAAGCGAGCCACCUGGGAAGUACGGUCGCAAGGCUGAAACUUAAAGGAAUUGGCGGGGGAGCACCACAACGGGUGGAGCUUGCGGUUUAAUUGGAUUCAACGCCGGAAAUCUUACCGGGACCGACAGCAACAUGAAGGCCAGGCUGAAGACUUUGCCGGAUUAGCUGAGAGGUGGUGCAUGGCGUAGUCGUGU
rnacentral:rRNA from 1 species